ACGCUCAUAUCAUGUUGAAUACGCCGGUUCUCGUCCGAUCACCGAAGUUAAGCAGCGACGAGCGCGGUCAGUACGUAAAAUUCGUGACCGCCUGGGAACAUUACGUG